GGGUCAGUAGGUUGGUCGUGCCACCGGUACGUACUGGUCUCACUGAUUCCUCCUUCCUGAAGAACCGUUAUGCCAUUAAUUUGGUGUUGCGGGGAAACAGGACUGUUACUUUGAAAAAAUUAGAGUGUUUAAAGCAAGCUAACGCUUGAAUACAUUAGCAUGGAAUAAUGAAAUAGGACGAUCGAUCCUAUUUUGUUGGUUUCUAGGAUUGACAUA
rnacentral:rRNA from 1 species